GGUUAGCUAAUCCUGGUCGGACAUCAGGAGGUUAGUGCAAUGGCAUAAGCUAGCUUGACUGCGAGCGUGACGGCGCGAGCAGGUGCGAAAGCAGGUCAUAGUGAUCCGGUGGUUCUGAAUGGAAGGGCCAUCGCUCAACGGAUAAAAGGUACUCCGGGGAUAACAGGCUGAUACCGCCCAAGAGUUCAUAUCGACGGCGGUGUUUGGCACCUCGAUGUCGGCUCAUCACAUCCUGGGGCUGAAGUAGGUCCCAAGGGUAUGGCUGUUCGCCAUUUAAAGUGGUACGCGAGCUGGGUUUAGAACGUCGUGAGACAGUUCGGUCCCUAUCUGCCGUGGGCGCUGGAGAAUUGAGGGGGGCUGCUCCUAGUACGAGAGGACCGGAGUGGACGCAUCACUGGUGUUCGGGUUGUCAUGCCAAUGGCACUGCCCGGUAGCUAAAUGCGGAAGAGAUAAGUGCUGAAAGCAUCUAAGCACGAAACUUGCCCCGAGAUGAGUUCUCCCUGAGACUU
rnacentral:rRNA from 1 species